rnacentral:rRNA from 1 species
GAUGAACGCUGGCGGCGUGCCUAAUACAUGCAAGUCGAGCGAACAGACGGGGAGCUUGCUCCUCUGACGUUAGCGGCGGACGGGUGAGUAACACGUGGAUAACCUACCUAUAAGACUGGGAUAACUUCGGGAAACCGGAGCUAAUACCGGAUAAUAUAUUGAACCGCAUGGUUCAAUAGUGAAAGACGGUUUUGCUGUCACUUAUAGAUGAAUCCGCGCCGCAUUAGCUAGUUGGUAAGGUAACGGCUUACCAAGGCAACGAUGCGUAGCCGACCUGAGAGGGUGAUCGGCCACACUGGAACUGAGACACGGUCCAGACUCCUACGGGAGGCAGCAGUAGGGAAUCUUCCGCAAUGGGCGAAAGCCUGACGGAGCAACGCCGCGUGAGUGAUGAAGGUCUUCGGAUCGUAAAACUCUGUUAUUAGGGAAGAACAAAUGUGUAAGUAACUAUGCACGUCUUGACGGUACCUAAUCAGAAAGCCACGGCUAACUACGUG